rnacentral:misc_RNA from 1 species
CGUUUGUAUGCACCUAAGUAUAGGGAAGGAGUUACAAAGUCACAAUAUUAAACUCUUGAAUUUAUUAAGCUCUUGAAGUCUGACUGUAUUAUUGCUUUUAUAAGGUGUGAAAAAAAGGGAAGAAUCCCAGCAUAGUCUAACCAUGAUUAUGCUUUACUAAUUUAAUCCAACUUUGAGUAUGGGGGUAGAAAGAUUGGUUCAUUGAUGACCGCAUUCACAGCACUAACCAUCUUGUGUGGACUUGAAUAGCCAUCAUCAUCCAAGUAAAAGAGGUGCAAGGUCUUGCUCGUCUUCCAAAACAUAUCUUUGCAAGCUUUAGGAACCACGCUUCUUUUUGUUUGCUGCACCAUUCUCAGUAAUUCUCUCCUAUGGCUCUCUACGAGUCUUGCAACCUCCUCCUGAGCCUCCUUUUCAGUUAUGGCUCCACGAUCAUGUUCUAUAGUUAAUGAAACACUAUUCAGCUUUCCUUGUGCACCUUCUCUCUGCAAGUUAAUUUGCAUCAAUGCACAGAUGGAGUGUAAAGAAGAAGUUGGUGAAUAGAAAUUAAUACAUGGUUAUUAUAUUUAUAUACAUUGAAGAAAUUAACAAAGCUACGUGUAUAUACCUUAAUGGAUGCACGAUCAUUUAGAAGUCGCCCAAUCAUGCUGAGAUGCAUGAAGAGAUUAUUGUACUCCUUUGUUUCUAUAACUUGCUCAGAGAGUUUAAAGCCCAGAAAAUAAAGUGAGGUGAGAAUAAUAGGUCCUAAGCCAAAUGAUACAUAUCCAUUUGUAAUGUACUCAUACAUUGUCGGCACUAGUUUGUUUCUUGCCCACUCAGCUUCCUUUAACAUGGUAUCCAGCAGAUUGAUCCACUACACAUACGAUAUACACACAUUAUUAUGAUAAUUAAACACAAAAAUUUAGCAACUAAUUAAUUAAAAAGAACAUGUACUUCCUACAAUAUCAAUCAAGUGCUUUCUAACGCAUCGGCCUUGUUGUUUUCUAGCCUUGUCAGCAAUGUCAUUAGUUGUGCCAUAAAUUGAAUAAAAGAGUAUCUCCACAUCUUUGGACUUGAAUCCAAUGGUUGAGUGAUCAUCCCAUCUAUGAACCAAUUCAAUGAGGUUUAAUAGCUCCUCCAUCGAACCACCUAAGUCGAAGAAAUCAUCGACAAUAGUAACUAGAACAGACAUUUGGGCCCAUGAUAUUCGAGCAUCAAAGAGAUGAGGGUGGGAAAGGACUGCAGCAAUGGAGAAAAAGGAAUAUGCGAUCUUCUGCCUUGCAAACUUUAAAUUUUUAAAACUAUUUUCUUCGACCCAUCUCUCCAGAUAUUCCAUUUCUUUACGGUAUAUAGCUUGACACUUAUUGAAGUCUUGAAAUGAAAGCAUCAAGAGAUCUCUGUUAUCAAUAUUGAAAUACCUAUAAGAUGUUUUAAGAAGUGAAAUGUCAUCUACACUGUAAUUCUCAAUAUAAUGACGGCUUUCAAUUCUUUCCAAAUUGGCAUAUGGAUGUUUCAGAGCAUAAUUCACCUCAUUAUGCAAACUCUUAUCUUGAAUCGUCCCAACUAACUUCUUUUCAAGAUAAGUUCUUGUCCAAGCAUAAAUUCUUUCCAGAACAGGUUCAUUUUGAAAUAUUGUCAUCUGUGAAGCUUUGUAUAACUCCCAAACAGACUUUACAUUACUCGUUGAAUUUAAGACAUUUUCUUGUCUGUCAAAAUUUACCAAUGUAUCUGAAGAGAUUUCGUAUCCAUUCAUCCGUAGGAGACGAAAUGCCAUGGCAAGACAUGCAGGGUCUGAAAAUAUUUCUUCACUGCCUUGCGUCCAGGAUCUGUAUAUGUCGUCUAGUGUGGUUGCUAUUACUUCAGUGAAAUGUCCAUCAAUUCCAAGCUUUGCCAAAUUGUCGAUCAUAUAGAGACGAGGAUGGAUAUUCAAUGGAUAAAUGGUAGGAACUGCUUUGUCGAAUUUUUUCACCAGUGAAGACAGGUAAUCUAAACAUUUUCCAUCAUGAAAAUGAAUAAAAGCAGCUGCAGUUGCAGAUGGUGAAUUGAAGAGCGAGCCGUUGCUUCUUUGAUAUUUCAUUAGCUCUUGCCAAUCAUUUAAUCGGGUCAGCCCCUCUGCAACGUAUGCAAGACGGUUUGUCUCGCCCUGGAAACUUUUAAUUUCUAAAUCUCUCUUCAGAAGCAUUCCCUCUAUUGAAGAGUUGUUGAAAGGAAGAUUCAAGCCCGUGUCUCUAGCAUGAUCAAUCAUGCCUGGAAAUAUUAUAUCAAAUCCACGCGGAGAACGUUGAUGCUUGUCAGUGGCAGCCCAAAUGUUAGAGGCUAUGAAGUCCAGACCUUUAUGCACAAGUUUGUCACCAACAUUCCACUUGUGCAGAGCUAGUAGACAGGCCAAUGUGGAAGAGAGUGAGUCUUUAAUUAGGAGGGGAUGAGCGGGAUCAAAAGCCCAUGAACCAUCAGGCUGUUGAUUCUCCAUAAUCCAGUUCAGGCAUUGCGGGAAAAGAGGCUGCUUGGAACUAUUCUGGGAGGGUACCAUCGCAACCCAUGCAGUGUCAUACGAGGAAACUGAUAGCUCAACCUCAUCUUUCUUUAACAUAUCUCUGAUUUUUCUAAGUGAAUUUUUUGUAUUAACAACUUUCUGCGGCUUUCUGUUGAGCAGUUGAGAUGGGUCUGGUGAGUUUGGCUUUCCUUUUGUGCUUUGUGCUAGCACAAUCUUGAGAGUACCACAGGUGGCUGCAAGGUAUAGAUUAGCCAUUUGGAAUGGGUUGUACUUAGUUUUGCCGGAAAUAAGAAAGAGAAAA